GAUGAACGCUGGCGGCGUGCUUAACACAUGCAAGUCGAACGGAAAGGCCCAAGCUUGCUUGGGUACUCGAGUGGCGAACGGGUGAGUAACACGUGGGUGAUCUGCCCUGCACUUCGGGAUAAGCUUGGGAAACUGGGUCUAAUACCGGAUAGGACGAUUGUUUGGAUGCUAUUGUGGAAAGUUUUUUCGGUGUGGGAUGAGCUCGCGGCCUAUCAGCUUGUUGGUGGGGUCAUGGCCUAACAAGGCGUCGACGGGUGGCCGGCCUGAGAGGGUGUAGGGCGACAAUGGAAAUGAGGAACGGGACAGACUCCUACGGGAGGCAGGAGGGGGGAGUGUGGAACAAUGGGCGAGAGGCUGAUGCAGCGACGCCGCGUGGGGGGUGAGGGCCGUAGGGUUGUGAGCUCCUUUGGCUAGGGACGAAGCGUGUUUGUGACGGUACCUGGAGAAGAAGCACCGGCUAACUACGUG
rnacentral:rRNA from 1 species